CAGGAUCAUCUGGCUCCAAAUAUCAAUAGUGCUGAGGUUGAGAAACGCUGUGUCAGAAGUUUUCUGCGAUGUCUUGUGAUCUUCGGUGCUUUGCUCCUAUUUUAGAGGCACCUGGUGCUUCACAUCCCUGAGGUUCUCCCCUCUGCGCUAGACUCCUGCCCGGCUCCAGCACCUCCAAUAAGAUAUCCUCAGUUGCAAUCUCAAUCUGAUGGAAGAAAAAGAGGCCAUCAUUCAUUCACUCAGCAAACAUUUAUUGAGGACCUACUGUGUUCUCGGCACUGUAAUAGCCCUGGGAAAAAGAAGACAUUUGAGGAAAAAGACGAUCCAAGUUUCUGCCCUAACUGAGCUUACUUUUUGUAGGCAUUUAGUGGUUGGAAAGUAUGACAGACUGAAUUGUGUCAAACUUCUUAUGUUGAAGCCCUAACAUCCAAGGUGACAAUUUGGAGAUAGUGCCUUGAGG
rnacentral:lncRNA from 1 species